GAGAGUUUGAUCAUGGCUCAGAUUGAACGCUGGCGGCAUGCCUUACACAUGCAAGUCGAACGGUAACGGGCCUUCAGGUGCCGACGAGUGGCGAACGGGUGAGUAAUGUAUCGGAACGUACCUUUCAGUGGGGGAUAACGUAGCGAAAGUUACGCUAAUACCGCAUAUUCUGUGAGCAGGAAAGCAGGGGAUCGCAAGACCUUGCGCUGAUUGAGCGGCCGAUAUCAGAUUAGCUAGUUGGUGAGGUAAAGGCUCACCAAGGCGACGAUCUGUAGCGGGUCUGAGAGGAUGAUCCGCCACACUGGAACUGAGACACGGUCCAGACUCCUACGGGAGGCAGCAGUGGGGAAUUUUGGACAAUGGGGGCAACCCUGAUCCAGCCAUGCCGCGUGAGUGAAGAAGGCCUUCGGGUUGUAAAGCUCUUUCGGCCGGGAAGAAAUCGUAUGGGCUAAUACCCUGUGCGGAUGACGGUACCGGCAUAAGAAGCACCGGCUAACUACGUG
rnacentral:rRNA from 1 species